rnacentral:rRNA from 1 species
CGCGUAGGCGGGUCCCCCAGUCCGGGGUGAAAUCUUUCGGCUCAACCGGAAAAGGGCCUUGGAUACUGGGGACCUGGAGGAAGGUAGGGGCGAUGCGGAACUUCCGGUGGAGCGGUGAAAUGCGUUGAUAUCGGAAGGAACGCCGGUGGCGAAAGCGGCGUGCUGGACCUUUGCUGACGCUGAGGCGCGAAAGCCAGGGGAGCGAACG